GUACGAAAAAACGUGAAACGCACUUUUACCUACACUCGCUGGGCCAUUUGCGUGUAAAGCACUUGCUGUCGAUUAUUAACCAAUCUUUCUAUAAGCAAGUAAAUACAGAUGUAAAUACGAAGACAACAGCAAUCGGCUAGGACCUACCAACAACAACGAGAGUGUCCGACUUGAAGCCGGUUGUUUUGUGUGGAUGCUAGCGUAGCAGUCCAGUGAAGUUAGAUUGAGGAUAUAGUUCUAGAGUGAACAGCUCUGAGAGAGCAGACAAGUAUAGUAAAGAGUGGACCUGAGUGAGCUCUGAGAGAGCAGUAACCAGCACAGCACAAGUAAGAUCAAGAGGGACAGUAUAGCUGAGAGAGCUAUUACUAGUAAAGAGUGGAUCAAGGAACUUUCCCCAAAUCACAAGUUAAA